UACAGAGGGUGCGAGCGUUAAUCGGAGUUACUGGGCGUAAAGGGCGCGUAGGCGGUCUUAUAAGAUUGAUGUGAAAUCCCUGGGCUUAACCUAGGAACGGCAUCGAUGACUGUAGGACUGGAGUAUUGUAGAGGGUAGUGGAAUUUCCGGUGUAGCGGUGAAAUGCGUAGAGAUCGGAAGGAACACCAGUGGCGAAGGCGGCUACCUGGACAAAUACUGACGCUGAGGCGCGAGAGCGUGGGGAGCAAAC
rnacentral:rRNA from 1 species